AGCAGCCGCGGUAAUUCCAGCUCCAAUAGCGUAUAUUAAAGUUGUUGCAGUUAAAAAGCUCGUAGUUGAAUUUCGGGGGUCAGUAGGUUGGUCGUGCCACUGGUAUGCACUGGUCUCACUGAUUCCUCCUUCCUGAUGAACCGUAAUGCCAUUAAUUUGGUGUUGCGGGGAAUCUGGACUGUUACUUUGAAAAAAUUAGAGUGUUUAAAGCAGGCUAACGCUUGAAUACAUUAGCAUGGAAUAAUGAAAUAGGACGAUCGAUCUUAUUUUGUUGGUUUCUAAGAUUGACGUAAUGAUUAAUAGGGAUAGUUGGGGGCAUUAGUAUUCAAUUGUCAGAGGUGAAAUUCUUGGAUUUAUUGAAGACUAACUACUGCGAAAGCAUUUGCCAAGGAUGUUUUCAUUAAUCAAGAACGAAAGUUAGGGGAUCGAAGACGAUCAGAUACCGUCGUAGUCUUAACCAUAAACUAUGCCGACUAGGGAUCGGAUGAUGUUAAUUUUUUAUUAGA
rnacentral:rRNA from 1 species